rnacentral:rRNA from 1 species
UACAGAGGGUGCAAGCGUUGUUCGGAAUUAUUGGGCGUAAAGCGCGUGUAGGCGGCUUUGCAAGUCGGGUGUGAAAGCCCUCAGCUCAACUGAGGAAGUGCGCCCGAAACUGCAGAGCUUGAGUACCGGAGAGGAUGGUGGAAUUCCCCAAGUAGAGGUGAAAUUCGUAGAUAUGGGGGAGGAACACCGGUGGCGAAGGCGACCAUCUGGACGGAUACUGACGCUGAGACGCGAAAAGCGUGGGGUAGCAA